GAUGAACGCUGACAGAAUGCUUAACACAUGCAAGUCGAUGGGGAAGUGGUGCUUGCACCAUGGUAACCAUGGCGGACGGGUGAGUAACGCGUAAGGAACUUGCCUGCGGGACCGGGAUAACAGCAGGAAACUGCUGACAAGACCGGAUAAGGUCAUUAAGCUGCAUAGCUUAGUGAUGAAAGGAGACGCCUGCGGAGAGCCUUGCGUCCUAUUAGCUAGUUGGAGGGGUAACGGCCCACCAAGGCGAAGAUAGGUAGCCGGCCUGAGAGGGUGGACGGCCACAAGGGGACUGAGAUACGGCCCUUACUCCUACGGGAGGCAGCAGUGGGGAAUAUUGGACAAUGGGGGCAACCCUGAUCCAGCAAUUCUGUGUGCACGAAGACGGUUUUCGGAUUGUAAAGUGCUUUCAGCAGGGAAGAAGUAAGUGACGGUACCUGCAGAAGAAGCGACGGCUAAAUACGUGCCAGCAGCCGCGGUAAUACGUAUGUCGCGAGCGUUAUCCGGAAUUAUUGGGCAUAAAGGGCAUCUAGGCGGCCUUUCAAGUCAGGGGUGAAAACCUGCGGCUCAACCGCAGGCCUGCCUUUGAAACUGAUAGGCUGGAGUACCGGAGAGGUGGACGGAACUGCACGAGUAGAGGUGAAAUUCGUAGAUAUGUGCAGGAAUGCCGAUGAUGAAGAUAGUUCACUGGACGGUAACUGACGCUGAAGUGCGAAAGCCGGGGGAGCGAACAGG
rnacentral:rRNA from 1 species